rnacentral:tRNA from 1 species
AGCUAAUGAACUUGAAUUAAGUAUAUAUUUUGAAAAUAUAAAAAAGAAAUAAAAAUUUUCUAUUAGCUU